CGGAACUUAAUAAGGCAAUGCGUUGCCGAAAUCGUCUGUAAUCCGGACAGCCGCACACAUGCGGUGGCGACUUCGUCUUUCUGCUGCGUCCAUGCAGCCUCUCA
rnacentral:ncRNA from 1 species